rnacentral:rRNA from 1 species
AGUGAACGCUGGCGGUAGGCCUAACACAUGCAAGUCGAACGGCAGCACAGUAAGAGCUUGCUCUUACGGGUGGCGAGUGGCGGACGGGUGAGGAAUACAUCGGAAUCUACUUUUUCGUGGGGGAUAACGUAGGGAAACUUACGCUAAUACCGCAUACGACCUACGGGUGAAAGCAGGGGAUCUUCGGACCUUGCGCGAUUGAAUGAGCCGAUGUCGGAUUAGCUAGUUGGCGGGGUAAAGGCCCACCAAGGCGACGAUCCGUAGCUGGUCUGAGAGGAUGAUCAGCCACACUGGAACUGAGACACGGUCCAGACUCCUACGGGAGGCAGCAGUGGGGAAUAUUGGACAAUGGGCGCAAGCCUGAUCCAGCCAUACCGCGUGGGUGAAGAAGGCCUUCGGGUUGUAAAACCCUUUUGUUGGGAAAGAAAAGCGGCAGGUUAAUACCCCGCUGUUCUGACGGUACCCAAAGAAUAAGCACCGGCUAACUUCGUG